AUGAAAAGGUUUACUGUAGGAGAGAAUUGCAGCCGAGGGUCUCUAAAAUGGAAAGGGAACAUCCAAGACCCUCGCUCGCGGAUGUAUAUAUUUUAUUCUUCAGAUACUCCAAUGCGAUAUCCCUCCCCUUGCACGGGACCGGGGAGGGGGAGACCCCAACUCUACUUUGGGCAGCUGGAGCCGUUGGCGAAUUCCAGAUACCUGAGAGAUCAAUGGGGCAGUUGGGAGUGGGGGGAGGGCGGUAAGAUAUUACACACUUGUCUACCUAUUGCUGAACGGGUACAAGCAGGCACACAGACGCCCAGAGAGAGUUCCAUAUUUCCUGUCUUAUUUCCAUUACUUGGAAAAGAAAUCCCUUUCGGUGGAACAUGUGUCGACUUCAUCCUGCUUCUCCUUCUCUCAUCCCUGAUUUCUGCUUGGCUGAUAAUGACUUCCUUGUCUCCUUGGCCUCUUCAUUCCCUAAUCUGUUGUCGAGAAAGAAGCGCUGGUAUGAAUAAAGUCAUUAUGUAAUUGAGGGAUAAAGGGAAAAAGAGACCCUCGUAUUUGGACAAAACGAGUCCAGGAGAAUCGCCCAAAAUUCCUUCCCCAGAACUCUGAAAACGGCAUGAAAAUGGGGUGGGGGGAGGGGAUGUACAAAAACCUCGCUGCCUUUUCUCCACCUUUGCUGUAGGCUGCAAAUACAGUCAGGAUUGGGAAGUAAGCCAGCACUGACCCUCUGCUGGUUCAGUUUCAAAUAGGAGUUCUGGGAUUUGAGGGCCACGGGUCAGACAGUAAGAGAGCCAAGUACUAC
rnacentral:lncRNA from 1 species